rnacentral:rRNA from 1 species
UAACUUUAAGAUAUAUAAUUGUUAUUUAUAUAAAUACAAGUAUAAAAAGGGAUUAUUAUGGAAUUUUAGCUGUAUAUUAAAGAGAAAGUAAAAUAAAGAUGAUAUAAUAAGGCUAUUCUAGUAAUAAUAAAUCAUAAUUUAAAUUAACUCUAAGAGAAAUCUUUUAAUAAACGAAGCGAAUUGAAAUAUCUUAGUAGCUUUAGGAAUAUAAAUCAAAAGAGAUUCUACAAAUAGCGUGAGUGAAAGUAGAUAAGUCUAAAAAGUAAAAUGGUUGAUAAACUGUUUGUAUAGGGGAACCUUCCUCAAAGACUAAAUAUAAUAUAUAAGCGAUAGUGGUUGAGUACCAUGAGGGAACAAAGAUAAAUAGUAAUUUUAUAAGCAGUUCGAAGCGUAAGCUAAAGAACGUACCUUUUGCAUAAUGGGUCACCAAGUUAACAUUAGAUGCGAGAAAAUACGUAGAUAAACCGGACGUUAAAAUAACGCCAGAGUGUCUAAAGUUAGACCCGAAGCCAGGUGAUUUUACCAUAGUCAGGAUUAUAAAAGUCCGAACGGGUUGUUGUAGCAAUAACAUCCGAAGAACUGUGGUAGGUGUAGUGAAAGACAACACUGACUUGGAUAGCUGGUUUUCUGCGAAACCUAUAAUAGUAGGAAAUUUAAGUAAAUAUAUCUUAGCAGGUACAGAAAUUAAUCUCAGACAAGGCAAUUUCGUCUUAUUUUGUACAAAUUGGGGGAUCAUAAAGAUUUUAUCAGUGAGUAUGCAGACUCGGAAUGGCAAAGAUAUAACUUGAAUUAUCAGACAUAGUAUGAUAAGGUAGUAUGUCAAAAGGGAAACAGCCCAGAACAAGAAUUAAGGUUCCUAAAUUAUAGUUAAGUGAAAUGAAGAAGGUCUUUAUUCAAGUCGACAAGGAGAUAGGCUUAGAAGCAGCCACAAUUUUAUGAUCUCGUAACAGAGCGCUUGUUAAGUUAUAAAGGCAUCAAUAAUAUAACGGAUCUAAACUAUAUACCGAAAUCUUGUCCAUAAAAUGUUAUAAUAAAUAGGUAGCUGCUUCUUAGGCAUGCCAGUAAUAUAAUAAUUUUAUGGGGUAGCAGAACGUUGAGUUAAAUUAUGACUUUUAUUUUUUAAAUAAAACUAUAAUGAUCGAACUCAAGUGAUAAUGGUGACAUGAGUAACUAAAAGAAAAUUUAUUUUCCGCCUUAAGCUUAUGGCUAGAUUUAAGUAACGGCCUCUAAGUUUAGAUAUAAUCUAAAGAUUUAAACGAUGAGAAAAUCUUUUUUACUAAUGACGACAUUUUAAGUGAAAAAUGUACUGGAAAAAUAGUAAUAUAUUCGUUCAUAGCUGUAGCAUUAGUUACAGCUAGUAAACGGAUGAAAAAUAACCGUACCUAGAUACUGAAACAAGUAAGCAAGUAGAGUAUACGAAGGCGUGAUUGAGCUAACAAUCAUAAAGGAACUCGGCAAAUUGACUACUGUAACUUCGGAAUAAAGAGGGCUCAUUAUUCUUGAUUAAUAUCAAGUAAAGAGGAAGAAGCAUGGAAUAAUGUUGUACGACUGUUUAAUUAAAACACAGCACUUUGCUUAAAGAUAAAAAAAUCUAUGUAUAAAGUGUGAAAUCUGCCCGGUGCCGGCUGGUUAAUGAAGAUAAUUAAAUGAUCUAACAUUUGAUGUUGACAGAACCCCCGGUUAAAGGCGGCCUUAACGUGAGGGUCCUAAGGUAGCGAAAUGCCUUGGCCGUUAAAUGCGGUCUUGCAUGAAUGGUGUAACGAUACAACAGCUGUCUCUAUGAUUGACUCAGUGAAAUUGGAAUAGCUGUGCAGAUACAGCUUACCUCUAGUUAGACGAGAAGACCCUAUGCAGCUUUACUGUUACUAAUUAUAGAAUAUGAUAAACAUCUUUCAGACUAAAAGGGAAUAGAUAAUAUAAACAUGAGAAACCUUUAUUUUUUUUUCAUACGAAUGAGAGGGUUUAAGACUUUGAAAGCAUUAGCUUUUAAUGUUUUAAAUACAACUAGUCUCUGCCUAUUUUAUAUAUAUAUCUUUAUAUAUAAAUAGGUACCCUUAGAUAAGGAACUAUGAUUAGGAGACAGUUUAUGUGGGGCACAGACCCUGUAAAGAGUAAACAGGAGUGUCUAAUAAUUUACAAUAAUUUUGUUUGUAAUUUUGGGUAGUUUAACUAUUCUUAAUCAUAUACAUUUAAUUAUAUAUACGUUGUACUACUGUAUAACUUCCUAUAUAUUUAAAAAAAGGUAGGAUUUUUACUAUAUAGAAAUUAGAGAUAAUUGAAAAGAUUACUUAAUAAUUUUUUCUAGCUAUUAAUUUAAUAAUAGUGGUGAUAAUAUCUAGAAAGCUCAACGGCUAAAUCUUGCCUUACUGUUUGAUUAUCUACAAAUCUUACAGUUGCGUAAGCAGGGCAUAGGAUCACAAGAUGCAAUAAGGAAAGAUCUUGGAUUAUUGGAAAAGCUACGCUAGGGAUGUUUGUCCUUUAAUAUUUUAUGAGUUUUAACAACAAUCAUAAAAUAAUUGAUACAAAUUGGGUAAAUUUCAAGAAUUACUAAGUUUAGUAAAUUUGAAGCGAAGUUUAUUUUAGCAUAAUUAUAAAAUAAAAACGUUCAACGACUAUAAGGUGAGUGUUUAUGCAUAAUACACAAUAAUCCUUUAUUACUACCCAACAUUUUUAUAAUCUAUUAAUAUACUAAUAAAUAAAAGAAAAAAAAAAAGAAUGAAUGAAAAAUAAUGAAGAACUCUAACACAGUUAUGCUGACGAAGUCAAGGAAUCGUUUACUAAAAAUGAAAAUAUUUAAUAAUAAUUUAAAUAAAAAUCCUAAAAGUGUACUUUUAAGAUCCAAAUUAAAUAUCCUAGGAAAACCGAGAUAUUUACCUUCAUUUUCUAAAGAAUGAAGAAAUAUUAUUUAUUCUUUUAAUAAGAAUAAUUUGAAAAAUAUUCCAGUUAACGAUGUUAAUGUGAAUAAAAUAGUACAAAAUUAUUUUGAUUUAUUUUUCGUACGAAAUAUGCGUGCCUAUAAAAAUAAAAGAAGAAUAAAGGUUUUUAAAAGAAGACGUAAAUUUUUAAGAAGAAUAUUUAUAAGUAAUGUAGAAAUUAAACAUACUAAUAAUAAAGCAAAAAUAACUUUAUAUACUAUAAAUAGAGAAAAAAAAAUAUUAAAAGAAAAAUAUAUGAACAUAUAUAAAAAUUUAAGCUUUAAAUUAUUUAAAAAUUAUAUUCAUUCAUACAAUAAACAUAUAAAUAAUAUAUAUUGAUUUAUGAAUGAUACUAAAACUAAUGAUAAUUUAUUAGCAAAAACUUUAAAAAUAUGAAAUGAAUAUAUUUUUAUAAGUAACUUAAUAAGAAAAAAGGAUUAUUUAAAUCAUAAAUGAAAUUCUUUACAAAUUUUUUUAAAAUUAAAUAAUCUUUUAUUAAGAAAAACAUUAAGUUUUUUAAUAAAAAAGGAAUCUAAGUAUUAUAUACGUUUAUUAAGAAGAUAUAAUAUAUUAUAUUCACUUAAUCAAUUUAAAUUUAAUAAAUUAAUAUUAUUACCUAAAUUGAGUAACUUAUUAAGUAAAAUAAUAGGAAAAAAAGUAGAAUACAAUAUUAUAAAUUUAAAAUCUAUUUCAUAUAAUACUGAUCUUUUCACAAAGAUAUUAGCAUUAAAAAUAAAAAAAAUUAAACAAGGACAUGUACGUAGAAUGUUAGCUGUUUUAAAUAAAGCAUAUUUACCUACAGCAAAUACUUUACAAGAAAGAACUAGAGCAGAAAUUUGAGGAAAUUUUGAUAAAUACCAAAAUAAAUAUAAGGAUUUAAAAGUUCUUUCUCAUUUAGAUUCAGUAUACGACGGUAGUAAUACUAAGGUAACUGGAACUAAAAAAGGGAAUAUUUCUGAAUUAUUCACAAGAAUAUAUAACAACGCAGAUAAUAUACAUAACUUAAUUUAUAACUCAAUUGAUUAUAAAAACAUGAGAGGGAUAAAGAUAGAAGUUAAUGGUAGAUUAACUAAACGUUAUAGAGCGGAUAGAUCAAUUUUUUCUUUAAAGAGAAAGGGUGGAUUGAAAAAUAUAGCUUCAUCUUAUAUAGGUUUAAGUUCAGUUUUAUUUAGAGGAAAUACUCAUUCAAAUCUUAGUUAUUCUUGAGCUAAAUCAAAACGUCGUGUAGGAGCUUUUGCUGUUAAAGGUUGAAUUGCAGGUAAAUAAGAAAAGGUUAGCUUUAUAACCGCUAACAUUGUUAGUGAAACAAUCGUUAAAUCUUUUAUUAAUAAUAUAAAAAUGAAGACAUAGUCUGAACCAUUCUGAGAAAAAUGGAAAAAAUGAUAACAAAUAGAACAGGCUAAUUUGCGCAAGAGUGUACAUAAUGAGUGCGCGGUUUGGCACCUCGAUGUCGGCUUAACUUCUCCUCAUGGAUGCAGAAACUAUGUAGGGUGCGACUGUUCGUCGAUUAAAAAGUUACAUGAGCUGGGUUAAAUACGUCGUGAGACAGUAUGGUUUCUAUCUUCUAGAGGGAAUUAGAAUAAAAAAAGAAGGAACUUUUGUACGAAAGGAACAAGAAGAAUUUAAUUAGUUUUGCUAAUUAGAUAAUAGUUAUGAACCUAUGGUUUACCUGUUGUUUAUGUGUCUAAAUAUUAAUAUACAUAUUUAUAUGUAUACUUGUACUAUUGUACAUAAGAAUGUUUCUUUCACUAGGAUAAAUUGAUUACAUAGGCACGGCAGGAAAGCUAAGUUUGUUAAAGAUAAGUGCUGAAAGCAUAUAGGCAUGAAGCUUCCCUUUGGAUAUUUCUUAAAUAUGCGUAUUAUAUCAAUACGAAAAUUUUAUAUAGGCUUAACUUGUAUUAAUCUUGAGAUUUUUAAGGAUAAAGUACUAAUUUAAUAAAUCACUAUAUU